UACGGAGGGGACUAGCGUUGUUCGGAAUUACUGGGCGUAAAGCGCACGUAGGCGGAUUUGUAAGUCAGGGGUGAAAUCCCGAGGCUCAACCUCGGAACUGCCUUUGAUACUGCAAAUCUCGAGUCCGGAAGAGGUGAGUGGAAUUCCUAGUGUAGAGGUGAAAUUCGUAGAUAUUAGGAAGAACACCAGUGGCGAAGGCGGCUUACUGGUCCGGUACUGACGCUGAGGAGCGAAAGCGUGGGGAGCAAACAGG
rnacentral:rRNA from 1 species